AGGGGAGAAGCCAUCAUCAUCAUCAUCAUCCAUGGGGAGAGCAUUGUGAGGAAGUUACACUUUGGUCUACAAUACCAGGAAUUCCACAGUCAGCAUGACUAACCUUGCUGGGGAUUCUGUACCCAAACAGGUUCAGCACCUUGGAGACCACCUUCAAAGAUUGUUUUCAAGUCUUCAGUGGAUUCACUGCCCAACUGACAUGGAGGCCACCAGCCACCACAGCUAAUCCCAGCCUAAUGACCAGAAAAAGAACCUGCGUUGUGUAUAAACAGGGCCUCAAAGCUGUCAAACAAUAAGAUGAAAUCAGCAGGGAAGGCUGGCCCAGAUAUGUUGCUAUAUGAUGUGGAACGUCCAAGUGCAUCCUAUCCUCACAAAGUCAAGGUGAAUGUGACUGUGUGUCUUCCUUUCCUGAGAGCAAUGUUCUGCUUGAAGAGUUGCACAAUUUAAGAAUAAGAGGGGUCCUUGAAGUUAGAAUCAAACAACAUUGGAUAAUGAACCCAUGUCACCCGAAUAACCCAUCCACAGACAAGGGAGUAAAUAGCAAGGCAGACACUGUCAGAAGCAGAAAUCUGGUGUUUUACUGGGAUGUUCUGUUUUUUCUAACACUUGACACUUAGUCUCACUGGCUACCCAUAAGUAGAAUGCAAAAGUGAGGAAACCAUUCCAAUGCAGAGAUGUAUUAGGAAUUGGGCAGAACAUACAUUUGGCAAAAUGCAAUCCAGAUGGCUCAAAGAAGCAAGCCAUUCCAGAGCACACGCUACUACUGGAAUGAAAACUAAUACAAUUCUCCAAGGCGAUAAAUCCAUGUGAGUUCCUUCCAGGCUUCACAGAUUUUUCUCCCAAAGUGGUACAACAGACAUUUACUAAACAACAUGCCUUCUUUGUAUUGGCAGAUUUAGUUAUGAAAGCAGGUUGUCAGUCAUUCUUCUUCUAGCCUCCUUGUUUCUCCUCAUAAUCUGUCUGAUCCUUUGUGCUUUAAAACACAACUGCCAACUGCAGUAAUGUUUGUACAAUUUGUUUUUAAGCUAAGGCCAGCUCAGUUGCUUCAGCAUUAGAUAAGGUUUUUAAAUUAUUUGUAUUCAACUUAUAUUGCUUUAUUCCCCCAUUAUGAACUUUCCCCAAACAAAGUCAUAUGAGCUGGAAUGCAGAUACAUGACAACAACAACAGCUUUUGAAAUCUGAAGGUACAUUUUGGACUCUGUGCCGACAAUAGAAAGCCGCAAAUAACAAUAUAUUCUUCAUUCUUUGAAUGUGUGCCCAGAGAACUAUUAUUUGCAUAAUUGCCUAUAUAUAAUUCAAAUCA